CGACCUCACCGCCGGCCGUCCCCCUCGCCCCCUCCCACCUUACAGCUUCGGAGGCUGGCGGAUCCGCCGCAUCCCCCACACACCCAUCCCUCUCGCGUCCCAUCCCUCUUUCCUCACGCGGCUCCUCGUUGCGCCAGCUGCGGUGGCCGAUUCAGGCGACAUCCGGUGAGACCCACGACCAUGAAGCACAGCUCAAGGUCCCCUCACACCGUGGCGCUUUCCCAUCCGGCUAGAUCCGGUGCUCGCGGCCACAAAGCCCACCCGCGACCCUCCCCCCAUGGCUAGGGUUUUGGGCGUCGGCUCCAGCGCCGGAGGCCAUGUCGUUCUCAUCUCGUCCGGGAGAAAUCGCUAGUGGACAGCCUUGCUGCUGCUCGGGACAAAGCAGCCAUGGAGCUUCCUCCUCCUCGUCCUCCUCUGGCUUCAUCAGAAUUGGAAGUCCAGUGACGACAGUUUAAAGCAGAUGGGGAGCAACGAGGCUACCGCGCAGCUGUACGGCGGCCUGGUAGGGA